rnacentral:rRNA from 1 species
GAUGAACGCUAACGGCAGGCCUAACACAUGCAAGUCGAGGGAUAAGCCUUCGGGCUAAGACCGGCGCACGGGUGCGUAACGCGUAUACAAUCUGCCUUUUAUCCGGGGGAUAGCCCGAAGAAAUUUGGAUUAAUACCCUAUGGUAUAAGAGCACGGCAUCGUGCACUUAUUAAAGCUACGGCGGUAAAAGAUGAGUAUGCGUUCUAUUAGCUAGUUGGAGAGGUAACGGCUCCCCAAGGCGACGAUAGAUAGGGGUUCUGAGAGGGAUGUCCCCCACACUGGUACUGAGAUACGGACCAGACUCCUACGGGAGGCAGCAGUGAGGAAUAUUGGACAAUGGUCGGAAGACUGAUCCAGCCAUGCCGCGUGCAGGAUGACGGCCUUAUGGGUUGUAAACUGCUUUUGUAAGGGAAGAAUAAGGAGUACGUGUACUUUGAUGACGGUACCUUACGAAUAAGCAUCGGCUAACUCCGUG